rnacentral:rRNA from 1 species
AUUGAACGCUGGCGGCAGGCCUAACACAUGCAAGUCGAACGGUAACAGGAAGCAGCUUGCUGCUUCGCUGACGAGUGGCGGACGGGUGAGUAAUGUCUGGGAAACUGCCCGAUGGAGGGGGAUAACUACUGGAAACGGUAGCUAAUACCGCAUAACGUCGCAAGACCAAAGAGGGGGACCUUCGGGCUUCUUGCCAUCGGAUGUGCCCAGAUGGGAUUAGCUUGUUGGUGAGGUAACGGCUCACCAAGGCGACGAUCCCUAGCUGGUCUGAGAGGAUGACCAGCCACACUGGAACUGAGACACGGUCCAGACUCCUACGGGAGGCAGCAGUGGGGAAUAUUGCACAAUGGGCGCAAGCCUGAUGCAGCCAUGCCGCGUGUAUGAAGAAGGCCUUCGGGUUGUAAAGUACUUUCAGCGGGGAGGAAGGUGUUGUGGUUAAUAACCGCAGCAAUUGACGUUACCCGCAGAAGAAGCACCGGCUAACUCCGUGCCAGCAGCCGCAGUAA